UACGUAGGGGGCGAGCGUUGUCCGGAUUUACUGGGCGUAAAGCGCGUGUAGGCGGCGCGUUAAGUUGGGUGUGAAAGCCCGGGGCUCAACCCCGGGACGCCGCCCAAGGCUGGCGCGCUUGAGGACGGAAGAGGGGCGUGGAAUUCCAGGUGUAGCGGUGAAAUGCGUAGAGAUCUGGAGGAACACCCGUGGCGAAGGCGGCGCCCUGGUCCGUUUCUGACGCUGAGACGCGAAAGCGCGGGGAGCGAACGGG
rnacentral:rRNA from 1 species